rnacentral:rRNA from 1 species
AACGCUAGCUACAGGCUUAACACAUGCAAGUCGAGGGGAAACGAUAUUGGAAGCUUGCUUCCGAUAGGCGUCGACCGGCGCACGGGUGAGUAACGCGUAUCCAACCUGCCCACCACUUGGGAAUAACCUUGCGAAAGUAAGACUAAUGCCCAAUGAUAUCUCUAGAAGACAUCUGAAAGAGAUUAAAGAUUUAUCGGUGAUGGAUGGAGAUGCGUCUGAUUAGCUUGUUGGCGGGGUAACGGCCCACCAAGGCAACGAUCAGUAGGGGUUCUGAGAGGAAGGCCCCCCACAUUGGAACUGAGACACGGUCCAAACUCCUACGGGAGGCAGCAGUGAGGAAUAUUGGUCAAUGGGCGAGAGCCUGAACCAGCCAAGUAGCGUGCAGGAAGACGGCCCUAUGGGUUGUAAACUGCUUUUAUAAGGGAAUAAAGUGAGCCUCGUGAGGCUUUUUGCAUGUACCUUAUGAAUAAGGACCGGCUAAUUCCGUGCCAGCAGCCGCGGUAAUACGGAAGGUCCGGGCGUUAUCCGGAUUUAUUGGGUUUAAAGGGAGCGUAGGCCGGAGAUUAAGCGUGUUGUGAAAUGUAGAUGCCCAACAUCUGCACUGCAGCGCGAACUGGUUUCCUUGAGUACGCACAAAGUGGGCGGAAUUCGUGGUGUAGCGGUGAAAUGCUUAGAUAUCACGAAGAACUCCGAUUG